AGAGUUUGAUCCUGGCUCAGGACGAACGCUGGCGGCACGCUUUAAACAUGCAAGUCGAACGAGAAGCUUUGGUGCUUGCACCGAAGUGGGAAGUGGCGAACGGGUGAGUAACACAUGAGAAACCUGCCCCGAAGAUUGGGAUAAGCCUUGGAAACGAGGUCUAAUACCGAAUACCUUCUAAUUAUCACAUGGUAAAUAGAAGAAAGCUCAGGCGCUUUGGGAUGGUCUCGUGGCCUAUCAGCUUGUUGGUGAGGUAAAAGCUCACCAAGGCAACGACGGGUAGCUGGUCUGAGAGGAUGUCCAGCCACAUUGGAACUGAGAUACGGUCCAAACUCCUACGGGAGGCAGCAGUUAGGAAUCUUGCACAAUGGGGGAAACCCUGAUGCAGCGAUGCCUCGUGCGGGAUGAAGGCCUUAGGGUUGUAAACCGCUUUCAGUUGGGAAGAAAGUGACGGUACCAACAGAAGAAGCCCCGGCCAACUAUGUGCCAGCAGCCGCGGCGAUACAUAGGGGGCGAGCGUUGUCCGGAUUUACUGGGCGUAAAGAGCUCGUAGGCGGUUUAAUAAGUCGACAAGUGAAAUCUCCAGGCUCAACCUGGAGCAGCCUUGCGAUACUAUUAUGACUUGAGUGUGGUAGAGGAGUGUGGAAUUCCCAGUGUAGCGGUGAAAUGCGCAGAUAUUGGGAGGAACACCUAUGGCGAAGGCAGCACUCUGGGCCAUUACUGACGCUGAGGAGCGAAAGCGUGGGGAGCAAACAGGAUUAGAUACCCUGGUAGUCCACGCCGUAAACGAUG
rnacentral:rRNA from 1 species